UACGGAAGGCAGCAGUGGGGAAUAUUGCACAAUGGGCGAAAGCCUGAUGCAGCUAUGCCGCGUGUAUGAAGAAGGCCUUAGGGUUGUAAAGUACUUUCAUCGGGGAGGAAAAAACAAAACUAAUAAUUUUAUUUCUUGACGUUACCCGAAAAAGAAGCACCGGCUAACUCCGUGCUAGCAGCCGCGGUAAUACGGAGGGUGCUAGCGUUAAUCAGAAUUACUGGGCGUAAAGAGCACGUAGGUGGUUUUUUUAAGUCAGAUGUGAAAUCCCUGGGCUUAACCUAGGAACUGCAUUUUGAAACUGAAAUACUAGAGUAUCGUAGAGGGAGGUAGAAUUCUAGGUGUAGCGGUGAAAUGCGUAGAUAUCUGGAGGAAUACCUGUGGCGAAAGCGGCCUCCUAAACGAAUACUGACACUGAGUGCGAAAGCGUGGGGAGCAAACAGGGAUUAGAUACC
rnacentral:rRNA from 1 species